rnacentral:lncRNA from 1 species
UUGAUAUUACCAGAAAAACACAAAUGAAAGACUAAUACUUUAUAACUCAGGAUGAUGGUUAGUAUUAAAUAACAUGAUUAGCUCGGUGGGUUUUUUCUAAUCAUGUUUUAAUUUUUACCUAAAUUGCCUGAUUCUUACAAAGACUGGCACUUUAAAAUCAUUAUGUGAAACUAUGUUACUGAGCCUAGCUAUAGAUACUGUAAAUUCAGAAAUUCAGUUCAUCUAUUAUUGCAAUUUUGGAGAAAUAUAAAAAUUGUGAGAUUAGUUUUUUACGAUUCCAAAACCAUCUGCAUGCAGAUAAAUGUAUCAAAUUUCAGAUAUGAGUGCUUAUAAUUGCCAUACUCAGUCAGACACAUUUUUGUCAUUACUAAAAGCCUCACUUUCAUUUCUGAAUUUACAGAACUUGUAGAAAAUGUACUUAUAAUGAAGAUACCUAUUGUAAUAAAACAAAACAUUUUUUUUGUAGUAUUGUAUUAAUUGGUGCUAGCAAAUGUAUUAAAUGUUUAAAAUAAUUUAUAGUCAGGGUAUAUGGCAUUCAGAUUUGUAUUUAAUUAUUUUCGUUAAUCUUUAGAUUUAAUGCUGAAAUUGGUUUAUUGAUGUUUAGAUAAUGCUUUUUUGUAUGUAAACAACAAAUUGAUUAGAAGUAAAUGUUGGGUUCAAUAGUGCCUUGUGUAAUUUAUUUAUCAUUGUAAAUGUUAAUAUGCUGUUCUGUUUUUUGAACUUUAACAUUGUAUAUAUUUGUUAUUGAAGUCAAAAAUUAUUAAAAGCUGUCAAUUUGUGCCUAUUGUAAAGGUUAUAUUUAAAUAUUCAACAUUUCUUCAUCUCAGAGCCUUCUCAUAGUUUUUGAUUAGAUCAUGUGAUUACUUUGACAAUUUUAUUGUACUUGAAGGGCUUAUUCAAGAAGAUAUUUUUUCUCAACAUUUUUAUACUGUUCAUUGUAAUAAUGUUUUGUAAUAAUAUU